GCUGUUCUUCAUGUGGUGGGGACAGGAAGUCAUUUGACUGCAGAUUAAUGAGGACAAGUGAGCCAAUACGCCGCUGAUGGACACUGAAAUAAACACAGAUGCCAUCAUUUACCUUCGAGAGGACGCCGCUCGUAAAAGUGCCACUGCCCAGAGGACAUGUGAGAACCACCACUGCAC